GUUAUAAUGUCCCUGUGUGUACCGUUUCUGUGUUUUCAUGUCACUUGUCCUAUUUUUUAUCACCCAGAAAUAAUUCCUGCUCUUUGCUGCAUAUAAAAAAGUGCAUUACCUUUGCAUUUGUUCAAAAAAUUGGACUUCACGAAUCCUUUUUAACAAAAAAAAAUACUUGCUUGUUGUACAGCCAUCUUUACUUCUGUAAAAACAUACAUAAGUAGUAAUCGAUAAGUAGUCGGACGAACAUGUCUUUUAAUACAAUAAGUCCUUCACGUGAUAGGACACAUAGUUUUUGUAAAUCUCUCUCAAGCCAUCCCUAGUUAGUAACGUUCAUUUCUACCACAAUGUUUUGAUUAGUGUUGACUAAGUUCAGUUGCAUCAUCACAACCUAAGAUAUUUAUAUUUUAACUAACUGGCGGUUUUGGUGUGAAACGAAAGUUAAGAUUUUAGCAGUUAAGAGUUAAUUCAAAGUUACCGUGUUCAGGUGGUGCAAAAGCCUGCAAAAGCAUUAAUCUAAACUACAAAUGCAAGAAACGGGCGUGGCAUCACACAAAUUAGACUGUACUAUUGUAAAAAAAGAUUUGAAUCUUUGAACCGCAGCUUGUAACGGCAUGCUAUGUAUUUGCCUUUCCUUUCUACAAGUUGUCUUUAACAGAGCAUCUUUUUCAGAUAAUGGCUGACAAAAGUGGAGUGGAAGAUGGCACCGACUUCAGUCCAGAAAGUGACCUCUCGGUCACCUCUGUUGAGGAACACCACCUGCCUGUGCCUCCUCCUCAUCCUCCUCCUCCUGAAUUACCUGAGGAAGAUGACAACUACUUUGCAGAUGAUGAAGAUGAGCCCAUGGAAGAAGGAGACUGAUUUUUUAUAGUUCAAUGAAGGAAUGGAUUUGUUCAUAAAGGAAGUUUUAAAUUCUACAUUCAGCAGUCAGACAGAUAUGGCCUCUUUAGUUAUUACAUUAACAUUGAAUUGAAAUCCUUUCUGUAUCUGCUUGUUGUUUUAUUUAAUUGUAGUGCCAAUGGCCUGAUUAAUUUUAAAAGCAAUAUAUUUAUAUAGUUUA